GAGGUUUUAGGUUAAGUAAACUUUUAGCUUGUCAGACUAUAGAUCUUAAAUAAUUAAGAUACCUCG
rnacentral:tRNA from 1 species